rnacentral:rRNA from 1 species
GAUGAACGCUGGCGGCGUGCCUAAUACAUGCAAGUCGAGCGAACGGACGAGAAGCUUGCUUCUCUGAUGUUAGCGGCGGACGGGUGAGUAACACGUGGAUAACCUACCUAUAAGACUGGGAUAACUUCGGGAAACCGGAGCUAAUACCGGAUAAUAUUUUGAACCGCAUGGUUCAAAAGUGAAAGACGGUCUUGCUGUCACUUAUAGAUGGAUCCGCGCUGCAUUAGCUAGUUGGUAAGGUAACGGCUUACCAAGGCAACGAUGCAUAGCCGACCUGAGAGGGUGAUCGGCCACACUGGAACUGAGACACGGUCCAGACUCCUACGGGAGGCAGCAGUAGGGAAUCUUCCGCAAUGGGCGAAAGCCUGACGGAGCAACGCCGCGUGAGUGAUGAAGGUCUUAGGAUCGUAAAACUCUGUUAUUAGGGAAGAACAUAUGUGUAAGUAACUGUGCACAUCUUGACGGUACCUAAUCAGAAAGCCACGGCUAACUACGUG